rnacentral:snoRNA from 13 species
CUGGCAAUGAUGAUUGGCGCAGGGGUACUUACCUCAGCUGGAUAAUGGGAGCUGAGUGCUUGCGUCUUCUGCUCAGCCUACGUGUGGUGGGCUGUUCAAGGAGCGUCUGCACGAGAAAAACGCCUAAAUCUGAGCCAG